rnacentral:rRNA from 1 species
AUUGAACGCUGGCGGAAUGCUUUACACAUGCAAGUCGAACGGCAGCACGGACUUCGGUCUGGUGGCGAGUGGCGAACGGGUGAGUAAUAUAUCGGAACGUGCCCAGUCGUGGGGGAUAACGUAGUGAAAAUUACGCUAAUACCGCAUACGAUCUAUGGAUGAAAGCGGGGGAUCGCAAGACCUCGCGCGAUUGGAGCGGCCGAUAUCAGAUGAGGUCGUUGGUGAGGUAAAGGCUCACCAAGCCGACGAUCUGUAGCUGGUCUGAGAGGACGACCAGCCACACUGGAACUGAGACACGGUCCAGACUCCUACGGGAGGCAGCAGUGGGGAAUUUUGGACAAUGGACGCAAGUCUGAUCCAGCCAUUCCGCGUGCAGGACGAAGGCCUUCGGGUUGUAAACUGCUUUUGUACAGAACGAAAAGGUCUCUAUUAAUACUAGGGGCUCAUGACGGUACUGUAAGAAUAAGCACCGGCUAACUACGUGCCAGCCGCCGCCGUAA